GCGGAGGGAUCAUUACCGAGUUUACAACUCCCAAACCCCUGUGAACAUACCUAUACGUUGCCUCGGCGGAUCAGCCCGCGCCCUGUAAAAAGGGACGGCCCGCCCGAGGACCCUAAACUCUGUUUUUAGUGGAACUUCUGAGUAAAACAAACAAAUAAAUCAAAACUUUCAACAACGGAUCUCUUGGUUCUGGCAUCGAUGAAGAACGCAGCAAAAUGCGAUAAGUAAUGUGAAUUGCAGAAUUCAGUGAAUCAUCGAAUCUUUGAACGCACAUUGCGCCCGCCAGUAUUCUGGCGGGCAUGCCUGUUCGAGCGUCAUUUCAACCCUCAAGCUCAGCUUGGUGUUGGGACUCGCGGUAACCCGCGUUCCCCAAAUCGAUUGGCGGUCACGUCGAGCUUCCAUAGCGUAGUAAUCAUACACCUCGUUACUGGUAAUCGUCGCGGCCACGCCGUAAAACCCCAACUUCUGAAUGUUGACCUCGGAUCAGGUAGGAAUACCCGCUGAACUUAAGCAUAUCA
rnacentral:rRNA from 1 species